UGGGGAAUUUUGGACAAUGGGCGAAAGCCUGAUCCAGCCAUGCCGCGUGAGUGAAGAAGGCCUUCGGGUUGUAAAGCUCUUUUAGUCGGAAAGAAAGAGUUGCAAUGAAUAAUUGUGAUUUAUGAUGGUACCGACAGAAAAAGCACCGGCUAACUACGUGCCAGCAGCCGCGGUAAUACGUAGGGUGCGAGCGUUAAUCGGAAUUACUGGGCGUAAAGGGUGCGCAGGCGGUCGUGCAAGUCAGAUGUGAAAGCCCCGGGCUUAACCUGGGAAUUGCGUUUGAAACUACAAGACUAGAGUGCAGCAGAGGGGAGUGGAAUUCCAUGUGUAGCAGUGAAAUGCGUAGAGAUGUGGAAGAACACCGAUGGCGAAGGCAGCUCCCUGGGUUGACACUGACGCUCAUGCACGAAAGCGUGGGGAGCAAACA
rnacentral:rRNA from 1 species